AAACAUCGCGGAAAAGCGAUUGGGCGGCGGCGCAAGGUGCGCGGUUACGUGGUGGAUGGCGCACGCUGCGCCGCAGCACGCGAAAACAAAAUCGGCGGUAGGUCGACCCCCCUUUAAAGCGGGGGUCGGCGAGGCGGCGCGGGGUUGGAGCAGUCGGCUGCGAAUAGUAGCAGGCCGAUGAGCGCGACAGCAGCCCCGCGCGACAGCACCCUAGAGGAAGUAAUGUAAAAAUUGGCGGCCACAACUGGCCUUGUGAA
rnacentral:misc_RNA from 1 species